AACGAACGCUGGCGGCAUGCCUAACACAUGCAAGUCGAACGAGACCUUCGGGUCUAGUGGCGAACGGGUGCGUAACGCGUGGGAACCUGCCCUUAGGUUCGGAAUAACUCCCCGAAAGGGGUGCUAAUACCGGAUAAUGUCUUCGGACCAAAGAUUUAUCGCCUUUGGAUGGGCCCGCGUUGGAUUAGCUAGUUGGUAGGGUAAAAGCCUACCAAGGCGACGAUCCAUAGCUGGUCUGAGAGGAUGAUCAGGCACACUGGGACUGAGACACGGCCCAGACUCCUACGGGAGGCAGCAGUGGGGAAUAUUGGACAAUGGGCGAAAGCCUGAUCCAGCAAUGCCGCGUGAGUGAUGAAGGCCUUAGGGUUGUAAAGCUCUUUUACCCGGGAUGAUAAUGACAGUACCGGGAGAAUAAGCUCCGGCUAACUCCGUG
rnacentral:rRNA from 1 species